UACGGGGGGGGCAAGCGUUGUUCGGAAUUACUGGGCGUAAAGGGCUCGUAGGCGGCCAACUAAGUCGGACGUGAAAUCCCCAGGCUCAACCUGGGAACUGCGUCCGAUACUGGAUGGCUUGAGUUUGGGAGAGGGACGCGGAAUUCCAGGUGUAGCGGUGAAAUGCGUAGAUAUCUGGAGGAACACCGGUGGCGAAGGCGGCGUCCUGGACCAACACUGACACUGAUGAGCGAAAGCCAGGGGAGCAAACGGG
rnacentral:rRNA from 1 species